ACUCCUACGGGAGGCAGCAGUGAGGAAUAUUGGACAAUGGGCGCAAGCCUGAUCCAGCCAUGCCGCGUGCAGGAAGACUGCCCUAUGGGUUGUAAACUGCUUUUAUACGGGAAGAAACACUCCCUCGUGAGGGAGCUUGACGGUACCGUAAGAAUAAGGAUCGGCUAACUCCGUGCCAGCAGCCGCGGUAAUACGGAGGAUCCAAGCGUUAUCCGGAAUCAUUGGGUUUAAAGGGUCCGUAGGUGGAUAAUUAAGUCAGAGGUGAAAUCCUGCAGCUCAACUGUAGAAUUGCCUUUGAUACUGGUUAUCUUGAGUCAUUAUGAAGUGGUUAGAAUAUGUAGUGUAGCGGUGAAAUGCAUAGAUAUUACAUAGAAUACCAAUUGCGAAGGCAGAUCACUAAUAAUGUACUGACACUGAUGGACGAAAGCGUGGGGAGCGAACAGGAUUAGAUA
rnacentral:rRNA from 1 species